rnacentral:rRNA from 1 species
AUUAGAUACCCUAUUAAAAUAAAUAAAAAAAACUAUUAGUAGUAAGUGAAAUUCAUGAAACUAAAAAUAAUUGGCGGCUUUUUUAAACUUUUUAGAGGAACUUAUUCUAUAAAGGAUAAAACACCAAAAUCUUACUUUUGUUUGUAAAUCUUCAGUUUGUAUAUCUCUAUUUAUAAAAUAUAUUUUUAAUAUAUUUAAACACUCUUAAAAAGAAAAUUUUUAGGUCUAGAUGCAGCUUAUACAAAAGAUUGAAAUAAGUUAUAAUUAAUUUAUAUUUAACAAAAGUUAUUUAGUAUUAAAUAAUUUAAGUAAAAUUUAAAAGUAAAAUUUAAUUAAUUUUUAAAUUUGAAUAAAGAUAUUAAAAGUGUACAUAUCGCCCGUCACUCUCUUUUAAGAGAUAAGUCGUAACAUAGUAA